rnacentral:tRNA from 1 species
GCGCCCAUAGCUCAAUUGGAUAGAGCGUCUGGCUACGGACCAGAAGGCUAGGGAUUCAAGUUCUCUUGGGCGCGCCA